rnacentral:rRNA from 1 species
UGGGGAAUAUUGCACAAUGGGCGCAAGCCUGAUGCAGCCAUGCCGCGUGUGUGAAGAAGGCCUUCGGGUUGUAAAGCACUUUCAGCGAGGAGGAAGGUGGUGAACUUAAUACGUUCAUCAAUUGACGUUACUCGCAGAAGAAGCACCGGCUAACUCCGUGCCAGCAGCCGCGGUAAUACGGAGGGUGCAAGCGUUAAUCGGAAUUACUGGGCGUAAAGCGCACGCAGGCGGUUUGUUAAGUCAGAUGUGAAAUCCCCGGGCUCAACCUGGGAACUGCAUUUGAAACUGGCAAGCUAGAGUCUCGUAGAGGGGGGUAGAAUUCCAGGUGUAGCGGUGAAAUGCGUAGAGAUCUGGAGGAAUACCGGUGGCGAAGGCGGCCCCCCUGGACGAAGACUGACGCUCAGG